GAUGAAGAACGCAGCGAAUUGCGAUAUGUAAUGUGAAUUGCAGAUUUUCAGUGAAUCAUCGAAUCUUUGAACGCACAUUGCGCCCCCUGGUAUUCCGGGGGGCAUGCCUGUCCGAGCGUCAUUGAUGCCCUCAAGCACGGCUUGUGUGUUGGGCCUCCGUCCUCCUCCCGGGGGACGGGCCCGAAAGGCAGCGGCGGCACCGCGUCCGGUCCUCGAGCGUAUGGGGCUUCGUCACCCGCUCUUGUAGGCCCGGCCGGCGCUUGCCGACACAUCAAUCUUUUUUCCAGGUUGACCUCGGAUCAGGUAGGGAUACCCGCUGAACUUAAGCAUAUCAAUAAGCGGAGGA
rnacentral:misc_RNA from 1 species